GAAAUUUUUGAUAGCCCUUUACCAGCAAUUACAUUUAUCACAUGGCUAUAUGUGGAUAAAUGUGAUCCAGCCAUUCCAUUGUUUCUGAAAUUUUCAGAAUACACCAAGAAGAGAAGUCAUCUGCCGAAUCAGCCUUUAAUGACCCUUUUAGGACUCCUAUCAUUUAACUUCCUAGUUAGAAUAAAGAAGCCCCCAAUCCUAGAAAUCUUAUAAUCUCUUCUCCCAAAAAAUUCUAAUUUCCAUUAUGAAAAACAUGAUUAGUGGUCUCGACAGCAUAAAGAAGCACAUUUUAAGUGCUUUGCAAUAAAAUAUUUGAUAAAUACUAUGGCUAAGACUUGGCCUGCCAUUUUUUCACACUGUUACAAGAUCUGUAAAUUUUAUAGCUGAAUCUCUUUAUUACUUUUGUGGUCUUAUCCUUAUCUUGAUUGCAUUUGGGAUCUUUUGUUGGCUGCCAAUAUUCUGUUUGCAUGUUUUAGCUUGCAAAUUUAGUUUAAAUUUCUUUAGAACAAUAGCCCGUUUGGUAGAAGAGGUAACACCUCUAGCCGUGCUCUCUGAGCAGUAGCUCCUUUGGAGCCCACUUUCACAUUGACUCAAGGGUCUUAGCAUGGAACUACCAGAUCUGCCCGUUGAGUCUAAAAGAGAGACGCAAUGUUUUUUGUUUUUGUUUGUUAAUCUUAUUUUAUGCUUAUACCUAUAAAGGCACUUAAUUUAAUGGAUUUGAUAUUGAAUUUGGUAUGCUUAAUUUAUAUUUUGUUGCUUCAUUUAUAUACUUUCCUAAAUGACUAACUUGUAACUCCUCAGAACCCGCUCUGUCGUAAGACAUUACGGUGCAUGACGGUUCCCAGCAAGUUAAGUUGCAAGUUAUUAUGCAGCGUUGGUUGGAUAUCUUCUAUUUUUGUAUUGGCCCAUGUGGUGCAUUUUGUCUUUUGGUAUUGGUCUCAUGACAGGUUUGGUCUGCAUCUUCGCCGAUUUGUUGGUCCAAUUUUUUUGGGUUUCUCUGAGUUUGGCAUAUUUUGUUACUUUGUUGGUUUGAAGAUUGCUUGGGUAUUGAUUUCCUUGUGCAGGUAUUGGGCUUCAGGUCUGAUUUCCUUGUGUAGGUAUUGUUUACUUUUUUUUCUUUCUUUCUUUAGAGUUUUGUUUGCAUAUAAAGAUUCCAUCAAAGAGCCAGUUUGAUUUACCAAUUUCUGCUUGUCUUGACCUAAGGAUUUUAGAGGCACCAGGGAUUUUGAUUUGAUUUGUUUUGAUUUCUGGCCAUAAUCUUCUAGUUUUCUAAGGGAUUGGAUUGAUCUUCUGGAGGUAUACAGUGAUCACGAUUUCUGUAUAACUUUGCAAUAGUAGGUCUUGGUUACUGCAUUUAACGUGUUUGCUUGAUGGCUUAAAUGUAUCCAACUCAGUUUUAUCCAUGCUUUAAUCAAAUUUGUAAUGUGAUGGUUCUUCUAUUAGUACGUGUGGCCCAUUUGUCAUUUCUUUAUAAAUUUUAGCAUAUUAUCCUUCAUGGGAAGUGAGAAAUUGGAGGAUAGUCCCAAUGCAUUAGAAUUUAAAAUGGUAGUUGGUAUCUUGAUGUACCCAUUUCGUACAUGGGGGGCUCAUUAUCUUUGAUCCACAAUAUUGAUCUUGUGGGAUCCAUUGCAGAUUGAGGAUGAGCCAGGCUCUUCCAGAUUGAGAGACUGUAACCAUUUUUGGGCAUGGUCCAUUGACAGUGAGUAAUAGUGUAUUACAUUGUGUUUUUGGAUUUUCGGUAAUUGGCAUUUUUUUUAUACGAGGUUUGCCAUCUCAUGCACAAUAUGAAAGGUGGAUGUUGAUGCAGCAGCAGUUAAAAUAGUCAUGGUUGGAGCUGGGUGUAAAAAUGGUAGUAAAGUGGAACAAGGUUUUGAUAUGAAACUAAUCAAUGUAAAUCGGACUUGCAAAGUUACAAAGGUGAUGCUCCUUUCUCUUUUAUUUGGGUUCUUUCUUAGGAAUAAAAUUCAUUUCUCUAUUGUAUGUGAUCUUUCUCUUCACUUCAUGUUUCAGGGAGGACAAGUGGUCAAGUACACUGCCAUGUUAGCUUGUGGCAACUAUCAUGGAGUUGUGGGCUUUGCAAAAGGAAAAGGCCCACCAAUUCCCAUUGCUCUCCAGAAGGUAUCUAUUUGAUGCAUUUGUAGAUCUCAGCUUCGUCCACUUUUUACAAGUUAGAACUGAAUGGUAACCAUUCUUUUCUCUAUUGGAAGCUCCAUACUUCCACAGGUAGGGCCCAUGGUAAUGUUUAUAACUGGUCUUUUUGUUGGUGCGCAAGUAAUCACAAAGUGUGAAGGUAAGCAGGAACUGAUUUGAGCAUGGGAAUGGAGAAGCUUCAGCUUCAAAAUGUUAGCAAGUAUGAACAGCUAGGAGGCAGGAGCAGGAGCACAAAUCAAAAACACA